rnacentral:tRNA from 1 species
UUCAUUUUGGUGUAUGGUGCAUAGUAAUUUUUGGUGUUUCUGGUAAUAGUUUAAACCUGUUGGGUGGUU